AUGGUGUUCUUUGAUGAUAUCAUUGUGUUCAGCUCUUCCUUCAUGCAACAUCUACAACAUCUGCGGGAGGUGUUGGCUCUCUUGAGGAAAGAUCAGUGGUACAUCAAGCAUUCUAAGUGUGAAUUUGCGUGCAAAGAACUAAACUACCUGGGCCACACCAUUUCAGAGGAGGGGGUUUCUACAGACAGCGUCAAAAUUCAACAAGUGGCAACAUGGCCUGUUCCCACAUCAGUAAAAGAGGUGCGCUCAUUCUUGGGGCUUGCAAGAUAUUACAUGCAUUUUGUUCGCCAUUUUGGUACCAUUGCUCGACCCUUGACUCAGUUGUUACGCAAGAACACACCCUUUCAAUGGACUGCAGCUAUGGAGAGGCAUUCGAUGCGCUGA
rnacentral:rRNA from 1 species